rnacentral:rRNA from 1 species
AUUCCGGUUGAUCCUGCCGGAGGCCAUUGCUAUCGGAAUCCGAUUUAGCCAUGCUAGUCGCACGGGUUUAGACCCGUGGCGAACAGCUCAGUAACACGUGGCCAAACUGCCCUGUGGACGGGGAUAAUCUCGGGAAACUGAGGCUAAUCCCCGAUAGGGCUUCCAUCCUGGAGUGGAGGAAGUCCAAAAGUUGCGCUGCGGCACCACAGGAUGUGGCUGCGGCCGAUUAGGUAGACGGUGGGGUAACGGCCCACCGUGCCAGUAAUCGGUACGGGUGAUGAGAGUCAGAGCCCGGAGACGGUAUCUGAGACAAGAUUCCGGGCCCUACGGGGCGCAGCAGGCGCGAAACCUUUACACUGCACGGAAGUGCGAUAGGGGAAUCCCAAGUGCGAGGGCAUAUUAGCCCUCGCUUUUCUCGACUGUAAGGUGGUCGACGAAUAAGAGCUGGGCAAGACCGGUGCCAGCCGCCGCGGUAAUACCGGCAGCUCAAGUGAUGUCCCAUAUUAUUGGGCCUAAAGCGUCCGUCGCU